rnacentral:lncRNA from 1 species
UGUUGUCGAACCCACACCAAGUAAAGCAUUUUCAUUCAUAGUAAUUGAUAUUUAAGAUGUUUUAUUAGUAUUAGAUUUUCUCCUCUUUUCUUUUCUCCUCUCUUCAAGUGUUAGCUCCCUUCAAUGAACUGCUAAUAACAGUAACUUUACUGCUAAACUGCUCCCAGUCUCAACUACACCAACAUGGAACUUCAAGUUGUUUGAAACUUCACACCACUCAGAGAUGUUCCUUUCUCAUUGGAUUUUUACGGGUUAUGAGUCGCCUGUGUGAUCCGAUCCAACCGGAUGAAAUUUUUUUUCUCUUUUGAUUAUCUGUAAAAAGAAGAUAAUAGGGAGUAACUUAUCAAUUUGAAAAAAGGGGGAACAGAUCCGCCCAAUUUCUCCAUUUAUAUAUUGCUUCUUCUUCUUCAGAUAGAGGAAGAGAAAAAUAAAUUUCUUGAGUACAAAAUACAAAUCAAGAUAUAAACAUCAAGAAAAAGGCAUUUAGUUUGUGAUAAUCACAAUUUGAUUCUAAGAGAUUCAAAGCAGAUUUGGGGUAGAUAAUUUUGGUAGCAAAAUCAACUCCUUCCACUACAACAUACCAAGGUACAUGGUGAAAUUGCUCCAAAUUUUAUUAUCAAUGGCAUCAGAACCAGGUUUAAAUGCUCCAUAUCUGAAUAAUAAUUCUUGAUAUAAAUCACUAAUUUUUUUUAUUAUUAUCAUUUUUUUUAAAUCAGUGUAAAAAUUCUUGAAAUUAAUCGUUAAGAAUCUGUACAUACCUUUUAGAAAAUAAAGUUGUCCAGAACAAGUUGGGAAAAUUUGAACCUGACGUAAUCGGAAUAUGAAUUUGUGAUUUGUGAUGAGUCGUGCUAUAAGUACGCUUCAUAGACAAUUUUUUUGUUGCAUCUUCAUCACUAGAACUAAGAGUGAAGCAACAAACACUAAGUGAAGAGUAGUUGGGGAACUGCUUAAAAGUUGAAAAUGGAAUUGGAGUGAAGUUGAAGAGCAGAGCAGAUGAGUGGAAAGUGAAAGCAUAAAUUUUGUUUGAAG